UGUAUAAUGGGUCAGCGACUUAUAUUCUGUAGCAAGGUUAACCGAAUAGGGGAGCCGAAGGGAAACCGAGUCUUAACUGGGCGUUAAGUUGCAGGGUAUAGACCCGAAACCCGGUGAUCUAGCCAUGGGCAGGUUGAAGGUUGGGUAACACUAACUGGAGGACCGAACCGACUAAUGUUGAAAAAUUAGCGGAUGACUUGUGGCUGGGGGUGAAAGGCCAAUCAAACCGGGAGAUAGCUGGUUCUCCCCGAAAGCUAUUUAGGUAGCGCCUCGUGAAUUCAUCUCCGGGGGUAGAGCACUGUUUCGGCAAGGGGGUCAUCCCGACUUACCAACCCGAUGCAAACUGCGAAUACCGGAGAAUGUUAUCACGGGAGACACACGGCGGGUGCUAACGUCCGUCGUGAAGAGGGAAACAACCCAGACCGCCAGCUAAGGUCCCAAAGUCAUGGUUAAGUGGGAAACGAUGUGGGAAGGCCCAGACAGCCAGGAUGUUGGCUUAGAAGCAGCCAUCAUUUAAAGAAAGCGUAAUAGCUCACUGGUCGAGUCGGCCUGCGCGGAAGAUGUAACGGGGCUAAACCAUGCACCGAAGCUGCGGCAGCGACACUAUGUGUUGUUGGGUAGGGGAGCGUUCUGUAAGCCUGUGAAGGUGGCCUGUGAGGGUUGCUGGAGGUAUCAGAAGUGCGAAUGCUGACAUAAGUAACGAUAAAGCGGGUGAAAAGCCCGCUCGCCGGAAGACCAAGGGUUCCUGUCCAACGUUAAUCGGGGCAGGGUGAGUCGACCCCUAAGGCGAGGCCGAAAGGCGUAGUCGAUGGGAAACAGGUUAAUAUUCCUGUACUUGGUGUUACUGCGAAGGGGGGACGGAGAAGGCUAUGUUGGCCGGGCGACGGUUGUCCCGGUUUAAGCGUGUAGGCUGGUUUUCCAGGCAAAUCCGGAAAACCAAGGCUGAGGCGUGAUGACGAGGCACUACGGUGCUGAAGC
rnacentral:rRNA from 2 species